rnacentral:rRNA from 1 species
CCUACGGGAGGCUGCAGUGAGGAAUAUUGGUCAAUGGGCGCGAGCCUGAACCAGCCAAGUAGCGUGAAGGAUGACUGCCCUACGGGUUGUAAACUUCGUUUAUAAAGGAAUAAAGUGAGGCACGUGUGCCGUUUGGUAUGUACUUCAUGAAUAAGGAUCGGCUAACUCCGUGCCAGCAGCCGCGGUAAUACGGAGGAUCCGAGCGUUAUCCGGGUUUAUGGGGUUUAAAGGGUGCGUAGAGGGGUUGUUAAGUCAGUUGUGAAAGUUUGCGGCUCAACCGUAAGAUUGCAAUUGAUACUGGCAGCCUUGAGUACAGUUGAGGUAGGAGGAAUUCGUGGUGUAGCGGUGAAAUGCU